rnacentral:rRNA from 1 species
UACGUAGGUGGCGAGCGUUAUCCGGAAUUACUGGGCGUAAAGCGCACGCAGGCGGCUCUUUAAGUUUGACGUGAAAGCUCCCGGCUUAACUGGGAGAGGUCGUUGAAGACUGGAGGGCUUGAGGCAAUGAGAGGGGUGUAGAAUUCCCGGUGGUAGUGGUGGAAUGCGUAGAUAUCGGGAGGAAUACCAGUGGCGAAAGCGGCACCCUAGCAUUAGCCUGACGCUCAUGUGCGAAAGCGUGGGGAGCAAACGGG